UUAAUGAGGCGAACCGGGGGAACUGAAACAUCUAAGUACCCCGAGGAAAAGAAAUCAACCGAGAUUCCCCCAGUAGCGGCGAGCGAACGGGGAGGAGCCCAGAGCCUGAAUCAGCAUGUGUGUUAGUGGAAGCGUCUGGAAAGGCGCGCGAUACAGGGUGACAGCCCCGUACACAAAAGCGCAUGUGCUGUGAGCUCGAUGAGUAGGGCGGGACACGUGGUAUCCUGUCUGAAUAUGGGGGGACCAUCCUCCAAGGCUAAAUACUCCUGACUGACCGAUAGUGAACCAGUACCGUGAGGGAAAGGCGAAAAGAACCCCGGCGAGGGGAGUGAAAAAGAACCUGAAACCGUGUACGUACAAGCAGUGGGAGCCCCACCACCAAAGCAUUUGCUGUACCGCGUUGACGGAGCGAAGCGACGUCAAACCGAUAAAACAGCAGUGUAAAGUGAGCCGCAGGG
rnacentral:rRNA from 1 species